UUCUCCAGGCAAGAAGGCUGGAGUGGGUUGCCAUGCCCUCCUCCAGGGGACCUUCCCAACCCAGGGAUCGAACCCGGGUCUCCUGCAUUGCAGGCAGAUUCUUUACCAUUUGAGCCAGGAAAACGGGGAGGAUAUAAAUUAUAAUCUAAAUGUAUUGUCCCCACAAAACAAAAAGACUGAAAAUAAGCAGUUCAGGAUUGGUGCAAGACUCAGGAGUUCAUCACAGGCUUUUUUAGGUAUCACUUCGUCUUGUCUGAGUCUCAAGUGGUCCUAGGCAUGACGGUGCCAUUGGAAGGGAGAGGGCGGGGAAAGGUGUACAAUGCCAAGUUCUUUAUCAGAAAAGCUAGAAGCUUCUCUGAAACCCUCUUGUGAACUUCUGCCUGUGUGUCAUUGGCCAGAACACAACCCAAAUAGUAAGGAAAGCUGGAAAAGUGAGAAUGUAGAUUUACCAGCUGUGACCCUGGAGGCAGCCCAGUGAGAAGGGAUCGGGAAUGGAUAUUGGUUUCCUCAGUAAACAGUGUCUGAUGUCAGCAUUCUCCAGCUUCAUGAUCUUCGGCAAGUAACUCAACUUCUCUAAUCCCUCUUCGGAAAAAUGGGAGCAAUGAGACUCUCCACCUCAAUUGUUGUGGGGUUAACUGAAAGAAUUUUUGCGCUGAGAACAUAAGACGCGUUCAACCCAUAUGAGCUCGGGUGACAUGCUUGACAGACAUGCUGCAGUCAGGUCAUGAAGAGCUCUGUAGGUCAUAUUGAUCAUUUUGUGUUGAUCCUUAGCACAAUGAGAAGGUAUCAAAGGAUUUUAAGCAAGGAGGGGCAUGACCACAUUUGUGUUUUCAAAAGAGCCUUCAGUUUCUCCCCUAACAGAUACAGCUGGUUGUGUGACAUAGCAAAUUGUCAGCACAAGGCUUUGCUUACCUGUGUUCGCUCCGGGAUGACUUUUAAUACUUUUUUGGCAAUCUAAGUUGUUUUGAGAUGUGUGAAAUGAGAAUCAAAUGCAGGUGUUUGACUUCCUUUGAUUUUUUAGAAAAACAUUUUAACCCUGGGGUAAUUUAAUGCCAGAGUAUCAACUUACUUUGAUCAGGAUUUUCAAAUCUAUUUGGCUGAUAGUACACCUACAGAAUAGGAAAAAAAAAAAAAUCACAAAGAUUUUACUUUGCUCCCUUGAGAUACUACCCUACUAUUAAGGACCACAGCAAGCUUACAUGUUUUAAAAAAAAAAAAAAAAGAAAGGAAGAGCUCCAGCAUUCCUUUCACACUCCCACUCGCCCCCGAGGUUCUUCCACUUCCUUCCUAUGGCUUUUUUUAGAAGCGAGUAUGUUUUUCUCACGUCCGGCAACAAAGGAUGUUUUUGAGCCACCACUGAGGUUUGUGUGUGUGACUGACUUUAUGACUCUUUCUAGAAAGUGCUAUCUCUAUUUGCAUAGAUUAAGUCGAACUUUAUCUUGAGUGACAGUCUCAAAAGACUAUUUUUGUUUUUGUAAAUGGAUUUUUGCUGUUAUUUAACCUCAAAUAAAUUUACCGAUGUGUUUAAAAUAAUCUUAAGAGGACCUGUCAAAAUUCCUUCACAACUCCUACAUGAGUUUUAAUCUCAAAAAAAAAAAAAUUUGUUUGGAUGAUUCUUUCAGCGUAUUGUAUUUAUUCCUGUUACCUUGUUAAAGAGUUUAUCAUCUCGUCCUUAAAUAUGUCUGAAAGUGUCAAAAUGUGUGUAUGGUGGAGGGCAUGGUAGCUAUGUAUAAUCUUUGGUGAUUUUCACAGAGAAACAUGCUUGUAACCGUCACCAUGCCCUGUGCUGGGGCUAUGGGAUGUCUUGACAUUAGGUGUUUUUAUCUAAUUGUAAUUCUCUGAGCAAUGAGACAAGGUGAAAUCAACAAAACUCAGAUGGCCAAGAAUCGUGCCAUAAAUCCUGUGAGAGAAUUUACCUUUCCAUUGUCAGAUGAUAUAAAUCAUUUAAAACAUGUGCUGGAAGAGCUGCCCAUUUUCUCGAGGGGAAAUAGGGUUUACAUCCCAGGUUUUACUUCUCAACCAAGAGAAAGAUAUUAAAAGAGCCUCCAAACCUUUUAGACACAUUUUGGUGGCCAAUCUAUCCGUGUGCUGCCAGGAGUAAUCCCGCCAAUGACAUUAUAAAGAGGCAGCAUUCCAUUGAGUACACGAACAACAGCCUUAGCUGCCUGGUUGGUAAACAAGAUUGCACUGGAGAUAAGUAUCUGCCUUUAGUAAAUGACAAGCCCCACCUAUAAUCCAGAUAGGAAGAUUUCUACUCCUUGUGAAUUUUGUGAUUCCUUUUCUGUUGGAGUUAAAGAAGGGGCGCUUAGCUUCCAAGAUCAAUUUAAUGUCUAAAUUCCUUGGCAUUUGUCAUGUUAAAUCAGCACAUCUCUGGUGGGUGGCUAUAGUUAUUUUAGCAUUGAUUUACCUCUAGUGGUGCAAAGCAAAGGAAGAUCCAGAAAAUCAAAGUCAGUUUUCGUAGGCCUUUUCUCAGAAACAAAGGGAAGCUGUGGUGUUGAUGGGUUUUUUUUUUUUUUCUCUCUCAUCUUUGCCUUCCAUGCAAAAUCACUCUUUAUAUGAGUUUCUUUCCCAUACUGAAUAUCUGUUAUAGGCAGAGCCUUGGGUAUUUCUGUGGUUGGGGGAUUAUGCAAAAUAAUUUGAAGGCACACCAGCAGACUUUGAGGAACUAAGUACUCAUUUAAAGAGAUAAGAUAUUAUAGUGGGAGUUGUGAGAGUGGGCGUGCAGUGUUGUGAGAACCCAGGCUUUCACAUUAUGCCUCAUCUUGGAUCCGGCCUCUGCCUACUACCUGAGCAACCUGUGCAGAAGAUUUCAUGUGGGUCCUCAUCUGGAAGAUGGAGCUGUACUGUUUGUAGCUGAUACGGCCUUGGGCAAAUCUCAUCCUCGCUGUGCACCUCAGCUGCCUUGUCUGAAGAUGGAGACGAUGCCGGUACUCACUUCACAGCAGUGCUGAGCAUCUAAGGGGAGAGAGGAAAGGGAAACGGCUGAGAACAGUGCUCUGCAAGCAGCAUUACCUGAGGGUUUGCUUUCAUUUUUGUGGGGAUUCAAUAGAACACAUGUGAAAUGCUUGGUUCACACGGAGGAGGUAACUAGUAACUAUUACAUUAUGCAGAGAGCUCAACACAGUGUGUAGUAUGUUUUCAGGACUCAGUAAAUGUUUGUUAACAUCAUUAUCUAGUGCAUAUGUCUUUGUGUGUGUGUGUAUAAUAAGGGAGAAAAGCACAUAUUCCCUAACAAGACAAAAAACAUAACUUAUGGGUUAAAGUCUAUAAGACAGAAUGGAUAUCAGCCAAGCCACACAUCUAGGAGAGUUCUUCCUAUACUACCAGGCACCUGUUUUGUCCUUAUUUAGAGGCCUAUUUUUUCCACUGAUGCUUCUCAAACAUUUUCAACUGUGGUGGAACCCCUGAGUGAGUGAGUGAAGUCGCUCAGUCGUGUCCAACUCUUUGCGACCCCGUGGACUCUAGCCCACCAGGCUCCUCUGUCCAUGGGAUUCUCCAGGCAAGAGUACUGGAGUGGGUUGCCAUUUCCUUCUUCAGAAGGAACCCCUAAUAUUUCAUAAAUCAAAGGAAUAAUCACAGCUUAUUGAUUGUUCCUCCCACCAUAGAAAGUUAAAAUCCACUUGGCUUUUGGGCUUGACUAGAAACCUAAUUAAUAGUAAUCACAAUGCCGGCAUGUUCCCUCUUAUAAAUACAGUCCCAAAAUUCAGUUAUAAAGCAAGAAUUUAGAUUGUAUAAUACCUCAUAAAAAUAAUGUUACAAUGAUCAUUAACAUUCAGGCCUACCUAUAUAAUUAUCCCAGUAUAUUGAAGAAAAAAAUGGUACUGCACAUUUCUGCUAACCGUGUAUGAGUCGCGGUAUGUAGUCUGACUUCUAGGUCGAGACGUAGAGACCUCCCUCUGUGAAAAUCCCAGAGGUGAUGCGGAUGAGAGUCACCUCUUGUCUGUCCCCAUCACCUUUAGUUUACUUGAGAGAUAGGGGUUCGGGAGAUAUGGUUUUCAUUAUGCAACUUCAACUUUGGUUUUCUGUGCAAAUCAAUGGCAGAAAAGAAAGAGGGGUUACACGGUAAAAAUCACCAUUGCUGGGACUUCUCUGGCAGGCCAGUGGUUAAGACUCCAAGCUUCCAAUGUUAUGUGGCAGCCUGGAUGGGAGAGGAGUUUGGGGGAGAAUGGAUACACAUAUAUGUAUGGCUGAGUCCCUCCGGUGUUCACCCAAAACUAUCACAACAUGAAAUAAAAAUUUUUUUUAGAAAAAGACUUUAAGCUGCUCCUGCAGGAGGACAGGUUCAAUACCUGCUCAGGGAAAUAAGAUUCUGCAUGCUGCACAGCACAGCUGAAAAAAAAACAAAAACAUAAACAUUAUUAAAAAUCACCAUUGGUAAGUAUGUGUCAUCUGUAAAGAUUAUUUUCUUAUUAAGACCUUUGGCAUGUUUCAUCGUCCCCUAUGUUCCUUUCACCCCCUACUCCACCUCUCCACAAAUUAUCCAAGGCCAUGGUCCUAGGGAUAACUCCACUUGUUGCUAUCAGAGUUUUUCCUCCAUGUACUCCUGAUAUGAUAUUGAAAGGCUUUCAGAUGAAGACAUCCCUGAAAUCCCUCGUUUAAAAAGGCAAUAUUAGAAGAAAACAGUUUGUAAUGUCAUUAUCACUGUUAAUUCCAAAUUGAGUCAGAUUUCACUGUUUCACCCUCACUACUGAGUUUGUAUGCAAGGGCAGCCUGGCGGAGAAGCCAAAUACUAUGCCAUUCUAGAUGUGUCCAUCAGGUGAUACUUCACACAGAGCAGAAAGUGACAGGAGCUUUCUUGAGGAUCCAAAGCUGGUAAUAUGACAUCAGUUUUUCAUUCAUUCAACGAACAUUGACUGAACUUUUAAUAUAUGCCAAGCAUUCUGAUGGAUGCUAGGUGUACAGCAGUGAAAAACAAAUAAUAUGCCUGCUAAGGCUAGGCUGAUGAUAAAAUACACCAACAGGUGAAGAUAGUGUAUCAUAAGGUGAUAAUUGCCAUGAAGUGAAGUGAACUCGCUCAGUCAUGUCCGACUCUUUGCGAUCCUGCACACUAUAGCCCACCAGACUCCUCUGUCCAUGGGAUUCUCCAGGCAAGAAUACUGGAGUGGGUUGCCAUUUUCUUCUCCAGGGGAUCUUCCCGACCCAGGGAUCGAACCCAGGUCUCCCACGUUGCAGGCAGACGCUUUAACCUCUGAGCCACCAGGGAAGCCUGGUUGGGAUUAAUUGCCAUGGAGGGGAUUAAUUUUGGUUAGUUCUGCAGGAGGAAGUCAGGGAGCAGGCCAUGUGACCAUCUGGGAGAGGAGCUUUCAGGCAGAACAGCAAGGACAAAGCCUCUGAGCCAGGAGCAUCUUUGUUGACACAGAUGUUCCAGCUGGAUCAGAGGAAGCUAAAGGAGAUGGGUGGGAGAUAAGGUCAGAGCGGUAGCAGGGGUACUUUAUAGGGCUUUGUAGACCACUGGGAAGAUUUGCUCUUAUUCUAAGUAAGAGAGGAUAUGUUUUGAAGACAGAACAUUAGGAGUGCAAUGUGUUGGAUGUCAGGUGUCAAAGGAAGUGCAGAAGCAAGGAUAG